rnacentral:rRNA from 1 species
AGUGAACGCUGGCGGUAGGCCUAACACAUGCAAGUCGAACGGCAGCACAGUAAGAGCUUGCUCUUACGGGUGGCGAGUGGCGGACGGGUGCGGAAUACAUCGGAAUCUACUUUUUCGUGGGGGAUAACGUAGGGAAACUUACGCUAAUACCGCAUACGACCUACGGGUGAAAGCAGGGGAUCUUCGGACCUUGCGCGAUUGAAUGAGCCGAUGUCGGAUUAGCUAGUGGGCGGGGUAAAGGCCCACCAAGGCGACGAUCCGUAGCUGGUCUGAGAGGAUGAUCAGCCACACUGGAACUGAGACACGGUCCAGACUCCUACGGGAGGCAGCAGUGGGGAAUAUUGGACAAUGGGCGCAGGCCUGAUCCAGCCAUACCGCGUGGGUGAAGAAGGCCUUCGGGUUGUAAAGCCCUUUUGUUGGGAAAGAAAAGCAGCAGGUUAAUACCCCGCUGUUCUGACGGUACCCAAAGAAUAAGCACCGGCUAACUUCGUG